rnacentral:rRNA from 1 species
GACAGAGGGUGCAAACGUUGUUCGGAAUUACUGGGCGUAAAGCGCGUGUAGGCGGCUUUGCAAGUCGGAUGUGAAAGCCCUCGGCUCAACCGAGGAAGUGCACCCGAAACUGGCAGCUUGAGUACUAAAGAGGGUCGCGGGAAUUCCCGGUGUAGAGGUGAAAUUCGUAGAUAAUCGGGAGGACACCGGUGGCGAAGGCGGCGACCUGGGUAGAUACGUGACGCUG